rnacentral:lncRNA from 1 species
GAGGAGGUACUAGCCCAAAAUCCACCAGUAGUAGAAAUGGACUUUAUGCGCGAAGAGCUGGGUGAAGGUGGUGUCUUGCACAACCCUGAGCAAAUUGAGAUGGCUUUUCAUGUUGAGAAUAGGGUAGAUGAUGACAUGGGUGAUGAAGAUGAUGGUAUGGGUGAUGAUCGUGAUGACGGUGAUGAUGAUGAAGAUGACGAUGACGAUGGAGAGGAUGAAGACGAGGAUAUAGCAGAAGGUGGUGGUGGCAUGAUGUCUAUGGCUGAUACUGAUGUGGAAGAUCAUGAUGACGCUGACACGGGGGAUGAAUACAAUAAUG